UACGUAGGGGGCAAGCGUUGUCCGGAUUUAUUGGGCGUAAAGAGCUCGUAGGUGGUUCGGUAAGUCGGAUGUGAAAUCUCCAGGCUCAACCUGGAGGGGUCAUUCGAUACUGCCGUGACUAGAGUUCGGUAGGGGAGUGUGGAAUUCCUGGUGGAGCGGUGAAAUGCGUAGAUAUCAGGAGGAACACCUGUGGCGAAAGCGGCGCACUGGACCACAACUGACGCUGAGGCGCGAAAGCUAGGGGAGCAAACAGG
rnacentral:rRNA from 1 species